UACAGAGGUCUCGAGCGUUGUUCGGAUUCAUUGGGCGUAAAGGGUGCGUAGGCGGCGAGCUAAGUUUGGUGUGAAAUCCUGGGGCUCAACCCCAGAAAUGCACUGAAUACUGGUUUGCUAGAGGACUGGAGAGGAGAUUGGAAUUCACGGUGUAGCAGUGAAAUGCGUAGAGAUCCGGAAGAACACCGGUGGCGAAGGCGGUGAGCUGGGCAGUUGCUGACACUGAGGCGCGACAGCGUGGGGAGCAAACAGG
rnacentral:rRNA from 1 species